CGAACGAGUCGGUGCUGACGGUGGAGUUCAACCCGCUGGACAGCGGCAGCAUCGUCACCGGCGGCAGAUCCCACCUCUACUUCUGGAGCUGGAGCGGCGCGGCGCUCACCAAGAAGCAGGGAGUGUUCGGAGCGCACCGGAAGCCGCGCUUCAUCCAGUGCCUGGCGUUCGGCGCCGCGGGC